AUGCAGUCGAACGAUGAAGCCCAGCUUGCUGGGUGGAUUAGUGGCGAACGGGUGAGUAACACGUGAGUAACCUGCCCUUGACUCUGGGAUAAGCGUUGGAAACGACGUCUAAUACCGGAUACGAGCUUCCACCGCAUGGUGAGUUGCUGGAAAGAAUUUUGGUCAAGGAUGGACUCGCGGCCUAUCAGCUUGUUGGUGAGGUAAUGGCUCACCAAGGCGACGACGGGUAGCCGGCCUGAGAGGGUGACCGGCCACACUGGGACUGAGACACGGCCCAGACUCCUACGGGAGGCAGCAGUGGGGAAUAUUGCACAAUGGGCGAAAGCCUGAUGCAGCAACGCCGCGUGAGGGACGACGGCCUUCGGGUUGUAAACCUCUUUUAGCAGGGAAGAAGCGAAAGUGACGGUACCUGCAGAAAAAGCACCGGCUAACUACGUGCCAGCAGCCGCGGUAAUACGUAGGGUGCAAGCGUUGUCCGGAAUUAUUGGGCGUAAAGAGCUCGUAGGCGGUUUGUCGCGUCUGCUGUGAAAUCCCGAGGCUCAACCUCGGGUCUGCAGUGGGUACGGGCAGACUAGAGUGCGGUAGGGGAGAUUGGAAUUCCUGGUGUAGCGGUGGAAUGCGCAGAUAUCAGGAGGAACACCGAUGGCGAAAGCAGAUCUCUGGGCCGCUACUGACGCUGAGGAGCGAAAGGGUGGGGAGCAAACAGCUUAGAUACCCYGGUAGUCCACCCCGUAAACGUUGGGCGCUAGAUGUGGGGGACCAUUCCACGGUUUCCGUGUCGUAGCUAACGCAUUAAGCGCCCCGCCUGGGGAGUACGGCGCAAGGCURAAACUCA
rnacentral:rRNA from 1 species